GGAAUGAAUAGGCAGGCUUAGUUUAGCAAUGAUACCAUGGAAAAGUAGGAAAUUAACGUGAAAAUUAUAAGAAUGAAAAUGAAUAAGUUGGUAUAUUGCGCGACCUGAGGGCUUGGGAAGUACCCAGCCCUGGGAUGACUGGCUAGCCGGCCUUGUCCCGAAGAAAACAAAGGUUCGUAACAAAAUAAAAAAAAAACAAACAAAAAACAGAUGAAAAAAGUCGAAAGUUGGAAAAAAUAUAUAGAAUGGAAGACGGAUCAGCAAAUUCCAGUGGUAAAUUUAAUAAAUAUAUAUGUAUUUGUUAUAUAUUAAUUUGAUUAUAAUAUAUAAUAAUAAUACACAAUGCAGCAUAUAAGAGAACAGCAGCCGGCUGGCUGAAAUGGAGUGCCACUCUAGAGAACCUGCUACAGGAUUGAAAAACAUAAAACUGGACCGAGGAAAAGCUGAACACGUUCCUGAGAUGCCACCUGAUUAACAACAUGGAGCAGAGCAUAUUAGAUAAAAAAAAUGUUAAUGAUUUUUUUCGGACAUUGUCGAGGUGGAUCUGGACGUUGGGCAUCGUUGGGCCCCCGCCAAAGCGAACCAAAAAGACGACACUUCUUUGUUGGCAGAGAUCGCCAGAAAGCGACUCGAAGAGCAGAAAGACCAUCACAGGAUGAAGGAAGAACAUGAUAUGAGGCAGGAAAAGAUGAUCGACUGAUUAAAGUCACCAGAACUGUUGCUGCUAUUGGGCUGUUCGUAUAUUUUGCUGUUGAACCACAGCCGAAAUAAUUUCUACAUCUUCAUCAUCCAUUAUAAGAAAAAAAUUAAUAAAUUCUCCGCGCAAAUUUAAUUU